UAGCGACCAGCAAAUUCAUUCGUAAAGAAAAAGUCAACUAGUGUGUGUCUACAAAGAAAUAAAAGUGUAAAAAGUUAAGAGUGUAAUUGAUUAAAGUGAAGAAAAUUUAUUUUAAUUAAAGUGUAUUGCUGGUGUAAAAGUGUGUGUUGCCAUUGAAUAGCAGAAAAAUGGCUUUGCGUUGCAAAUUAUUGCGAAAUGAGCAUUUUUGCUCCACAAAUAGUAGGCUGAAAUGAUAUUAGACGCCACAAGAAAAUGCAGUAGAGCAUUUUAUGAAAUUGAAAGAUGAUAAAAAGAAAUUAAUGAGCUGGCACCAACAGGAUGAGGCUUGAAUUUUAUAGAAAAUCUUGCGGAAUUUGCUGAAGAGGUUUUAUUAUCCUAGAGCGGACGUGAAGUAAAAGAAAAAUGAGGUUUCUAACUAAACGAAUGAAAAAAAGGUUGUAAAGGACCCAGCGUUUUGAGGAAGGUUUUAGAGCUACAUGGGCCAGUAGAGAGAUCUUUUAAAAAGUGUGUACAUAUAGUACUAGAGCAGGUUAUAGAGUUGUGCCACGGAAAAAAUGGUUCUUUCCCCACUGACUAGCAAAUUUUAUGUCCGUUUGGGCGGCCUUUUCUCGUAAAACAUUAAAUGAUUUUGCUAAGUCAGUCUCGUCGUCGUCUCUCUCGUAUCUCGUUACAAAUUACAAAAAAAAAAAAUAAAAUAAAAGAACAAAAAUAACAACAGUAAAACCCUAACAACAACUAUACAAACCAAUAAAAAACAAAAAAAUAGAAAAAAAGGUUUAAGAAAAAGCUACGUUAAGCGGUAUUAAAGCGUUAAAAAGCGUUUAACACACACAAUCUGUAUUGAAAAUCCCUUUUGCUAAGCGUUACAAAAACAAAGCGAAAAUAUCUUAUGAUAAAUUAGAGAAAAAACUAAGAAAAUAUAAAAAAACGGAACGAGAAGACAGAAGACAGGCAGGCAGGUCGGCAUAAAUAAAUAAAUGUUUCUAAGAGAAAAAUCAGGCAGGCAGGCAGUAUGUAAAAGAGUUCGUUCGUUCGUUCGUAAGUCAGACAAAUCAUACGAUGAUGUUAACGAAACAAAGAGAAGACUACUACUACUUGCUAGACCAAAUAUUCAAAAAACAACGGCCAAAAAUUAAAACUAAAUGUAUGUUUUAAACGCCCAAUGAAAAAAACAUGAUUUUUUUAACAAAUCACUCACAUUUAAACAAACAACAUCAUUAUUAAAUUACAAUUUACAUUUUGUUUAUUUUUGUUGAAUUAAAAACUGUUUAUAUAACUAGAAAACAACAACAACAAUAGCGUUAAAAUAUAUAAAAAAGGGUCUUUUAAAACCCCUUUAUUUAAAAAAAAGAACUUUAAAAAAAAAGCUUAAAUUUAUAACAUCAACCACCACUUUAAGUUGUAAGGUUUUUUUUAAAUCAUUCUAAGAUUUAACCACAAAAAUCAUUUAUACUAAGCAUUUUUGUAGUUUUUAUUAAAAAAAAAACAAUUGUUUUCUUAAUUUAUAAGCAUUAAUUUGUUGUUUUUUCAUUUCCUGUUUUUUACUACUUACUACUACAUAAAACAAACAAAAUUCUCUAAUUUUUUGUUGUUCCAUACAAAAUUGUUGAAAAAAAAAAUUUAUCUUAAAAAAAAAAAAUGAAACAAAAAAAUAACAACAAGAUUUUUUAAUAAAAAUUUAAAUAAUUUUUUCUAUACCACCUUGAAAACGUUUUUUCUUAUAAAAAAAAAUUUAAAACAAAAUAAAAUAAACUGCCUUAAACUUCUUGUGGGUUUUUAAAUCAUAACAAGUGGCAGUUUUAUUUAAAAAAAUUAUUUCCCUUACAGCGAUUUCUUUUUGAACAAAAUCAAAACAAAAUUUUAACAAAGUGAGUAGAUUUUUUUAACAUAUUUUAUAUAAUAUAGAAAAUAUUUAUUUUAAACAAAUAGGGGAUUAAUUUAAAGAAAAAAUAACAAAUUAUUAAAUUUAAAAGAAAAAAAUAAUAAAAUAUAAGAAUAUUGAGACAAACUAAAACGUUUAAAUAAUAUUAAUAGAAAUUUAAAGUAAAAAGAUUUAAGUUUGAAAAAAUCAAUACAGAACAUUAUAAAUUUAUUAAAAAAAUGGGUUAAAGGUUAAACUUGGUUAAAAUGCGUUAAAUUUUAGAAAACAAAUUACAUACUUGAAAUGCGUCGAAGAUAGUUUUUAAAAAUGCAUAAAUUUUGGAAAAUUAAAUGCGUCAAAAUAUUGCGUUAUAUUGGUUAUGGGUUUAUUUCAAAUGCGUCGAAGCGUAAAAUUUUGAAAAAAUUAAAAAAAUGCUUCAAUUUUUAAAAAUGCUAAGCAGAUGUUAAGUGAAAUGAAGAAAAUUAAAAGCGAUUUAAUUAGAAAAAUAAGUUUUAAAACUAGAAAAAAAGAGAAAUACGUAAAUUACAAAAAAUACUUGAAAUGCGUCAAAAAUAUUUGAAAAACUAAAUGAAUAUUGAAAAUAAGCUUUUAGGGAUUGAUAGGCAACAGUUAAAAGGAAAUUGAAAUGCGUCAAAAAUAUUUGAAAAACUAAAUGAAUAUUGAAAAUAAACUUUUAGGGAUUGAUAGGCAACAGUUAAAAGGAAUCAAAAUUACUUGAAAUGCGUAGAAAAUAUUUGACAAACAAAAUGCAACGCGUAAAAUUUUAUAAAAAAUGGAUAAAUUAUUGUCAAUAAAAAAAAUCACUUUAAAUGCGUCGAAAAUAUUUAAAAAAAAUGUGUAAAUUACUUGAAAUGUGUCGAAAUAUAUUGCGUUAUAAAGAUUAUCAGAUGGUAAAUGGAAUGAAAAAAUGAAAAUCAGUUUAGAUAGAAAAAUAAGUUUUAAAACUAGAAGAAAAGGAAAAAUGCGUAAAUAUUAAUAAAUAUUGAAAAUAAACUUUAGGGAAUAUUAGGUAACGAUUAAAAAUAAUCAAAAUUACUUGAAAUGCGUAAAAAAUAUUUGAAAACUGAAAUGCAGAGUAAAAAUUUUAUAAAAAAUGGGUAAAUUAUUGUCAAUGAAAAAAAUCACUUCAAAUGCGUCGAAAAUAUUGAAAAAUAUUGAGGAUUAUACAAAAAUGCGUAAAUUUUGAAAAAAAAUUACUUGAAAGUCGUCGAAAUAUAUUGCGUUAUAAAGUUAUGGGGUUAUGUUAAAUGGAAUGAGAAAAUUAAAAUCAGUUUAAUCAGGAAAAUAACUUUUAAAAUUAGAAGAAAAGGAGAAAUGCGUAAAUAUUGAAAAUAAAUUUUAGGGAAGGUUAUUUAACAGUUCAAAAGAAUCAAAAUUACUUGAAAUGCGUAAAAUAUAAUUGAAAAACAAAAUCUAAGCUUAAAAAUUUAUUAAAAAGGUACAUUUUUUGAAAAUGAUAAAAAAAAUCACUUCAAAUGCGUCGAAAAUAUUGAAAAAUAUUGAGGAUUAUACAAAAAUGCGUAAAUUAAAAAAAAAAAAAGAAAAUUACUUGAAAGUCGUCGAAAUAUAUUGCGUUAUAAAGAUUAUGGGGUUAUGUUAAAUGGAAUGAGAAAAUUAAAAUCAGUUUAAUUAGGAAAAUAAGUUUUAAAACUAGAAGAAAAGAAGAAAUGCAUAAAUAUUGAAAAUAAACUUUAGGGAAGGUUAGGUAACAGUUCAAAAGAAAAACAAAAUCUAAGCGUAAAAAGUUAUUAAAAAAGGGAACAUUUUUUGAAAAUGAUAAAAAAAAUCACUUCAAAUGCCUCGAAAAUAUUUAAUUAAAUUUGAAAAGCGUAAAAUUUUGAAAGAUUAUACGAAAAUGCGUAAAAUUUUGGUAAAUAAUACAAAAAUUAUUUGACUAAUACGUCGUCGAAAUAUAUUGCUUUAUAAAGAUUAUGGGGUUAUGUUAAUCAGAUGUUAAAUGGAAUGAAGAAAAUGAAAAGCGGUUUAAUUAAGAAAAUAAUUUUUGAAAUUAGAAGAAAAGGAAAAAUGCGUAAACUGCAAAAAAAUUGAAAUGCGUAAAAAUACAUGCAAGACUAGAUUAAUGAAAUGCGUUAAAAUGCGUAAAAAAAUAUUUGAAAAACUAGACGAAUAUUAAAAAGAAACUAGGGAAUGUUAGGGUAACAAUAGGCAGAAAAAUGCGGCUUUUUAAUUAAAAAGAAAUUAUGUAUCUUAAAUUAUGAAAAAUAAUCAAAAUUUUUAUAAUAAAAGUAAUUCAAAAUAUAUUUGAAAUGCGUAAGAAAAAAAACUGAACAAAACUUUUUAAAAGCAGAUAUAGGGACCGAUUUUUAAUAGGUAAAAUAAACUGCAGAGUCAGGAUAAACAAAUUUUUAAACUUAUUUGAAGCAGAAAUGCGUUAAAUAGCUUAAUUGCAUUGAGAUUUGAAACAUAAAUAAUUAUUAAUCCUGGAACUUAAUUAAAAAUGCGUUAAAUAAAACAAAAUUAUAAAAAAAUACUUUAAAUGCGUCGAAAAUGUUAAAUUGAAUUUGAAAAGCGUAAAAUUUGGCUAAAUAAGAUUUGAAAUUUUAAAACAAAAUGCGUAACUUUUAGUAAAAAAGAAUUACUUGAAAUGCAUCGAAAUAUUGCUAUAAAAAAUAUUAAAAUAUAGAUAAGUAUAGGGUUAGUUAGUAAUUAAACUGAAUCUAAAAAGCAUUAAAUUUAGGGAAAUAAAAUUUAAAAUUAGAAAAACAAUGCGUCAUCAGGAAAUAAUAAAUGCGUAAAUUCUGGAAAAUAAUACAAAAAUGACAUGAAAAUCUUUUGAAAAACUAGAUUAAUAUUGAAAAGGAGAUUUAAUUUAAGGAAUUUUAGGUACACAUUUUUUGAAAUUAGGUAGAGACAUUUAAAUAUAAAGAAAAUGCGUUAAAUACAUAAUAAUCAUAAUUAUUAAAAAAACAAGUACAUAAUGAUAAUUAUUAAAAUAAGACAAAAUAAUGAAAUGCGUUAAAAAUAUUUGAAAAAAAUAAAUAAAAUACCUGAGCAAAACUUUUUGAAGGAGAAAAUAGGAAGCAGUUUUUAUAGUUAAAAGAAAAUGCAGCGUCAGGCUAUAAGAGUAAUUGCGUUAAAUUCGUAAAAUUUAAAUAUAAAAAUUGAAAAUGAAAACAAAAUUAAUUAAAAAUUCGUCGAAAAUAUUAAAUUUUAAUAGCGUAACAUUUAGCGAUAAAAAGUUCUAAAAAUUAUAAAAAAAUGCGUAACCUAAAAAAAACUUUUUAUUUUUUAAAAAAUAUAAAAAACGAGUCGAAAUACAAUUGCAUCAUAACAAUUUAUAAAUAUGGGGCCAGUUAAUCAAUUACAUAUAAAUUUAAAAAUUAGGAAAAUAGGUUUUAAAUUAGAAAAUUAUAAAAAAUAGAAACAUUUUUUAAAAUGCGUUUAAAAAUUGAGAAAACUAAAUAAAGUAUUCAAAAGAAAUAUUAGAGAAAACGACGAGAUUAUUUAAAAAGCGAUAAAAAGAUUUGAGAAGUUUUUUUUUUUAAACGGUAGAAAAGGCAGUUUAUAAACUUUAAGUAAAUUUUUGAUAAUAGUACAGAAGAAAUUUAUUAAAAUGCGUCGAAUAUUGCCCAAAGAUAGAGAAACUUAACCUCCAAAACUAAGCAAUAUAUUAAAAUAAAAUGAAGGAAAAGAGUAAGGAUUUGUUUACUAGGUAGAAAAUGCGGCUCGAAAAUUGUUACAAAAUAUAGUUUUUAAAAUUAUUUUAUUAAAUUAAAAAUAGAACAAUUUACAUGAAAUGCCUUUAAAAUGAGGUUCAUUUUUUAUCAGGAUUCAAAUAUCUACGAUAUUUUCUCUUACCCGACUAUAAAUUAGUCGUUCUUACACGACAACAGUUUUCACGGCUUGAUAAAGGUCCAAAAUAAAAAACGUAGAAUUUUGAAUGAUUUAAAUUAGGCGUCCUUACACGGCGAGUAUUGAAACUUUUUGGCGAAAGCUAUCAGAUCGUUUAAAAUGCGUGACAUAAACAAAUUUAAAAAAUUGUAUUAAAUUCUGAAAAUUAAAUAUUUCAAAAAUAGAAUAGAAUUAAAAAAAUAGGAAAAUAUUUGAAAGUAGAAAUAAUUAAAGCCUCAACAAUAUAAUAGAUCAUAGUAAGAAAUAAAAAAAAUAAUAAUAAAUAAUAGAAAAUAGGAAAACAAAUAAAAAAGAAAUCUAAAAUAUUUUUGAAAUUAAAAAAAAAAAAAAUAAAAAAGCAUUUAAAUACAAAAAAAAAGAAAUGAAAAAAAUAUAAAAAUUUAAAAAAAAAAAAAAAUAUUGAAAAUGCAAAAAAAAAGAGAAAAAUACAUAAAACAGAAAUAUAAAAAAAUAUAUAAAAACAAAUAAACAAAAAAUAAUAGAAAAUGCGUUGAAAAUUUAAAAAAAUAUAAGAAUUUUAAAAUAAAGUUUAGAAUAGAAAAAAAUCACAUUAAAAAUAUAAGAAAUAGUUAAAGAUAUUUUAGGGACUUAAUUUUAAAGUAUUUCAAAAGCCGUAGAAGCUUCAAAUUAAGAAAAAAGGAAAGAAUACGUUUUGAGAAUUUUAAAACUUUUUUAAAAAUGCUUCUAGAAUUUAAAGAUUUCACCAAAUUUAGAAAUUUUAGUAAUUGAAAAAAGCUGCGUCUUAAUUACAAACAAAUUUUAAAUUUAGAAAUGCGUUAAAACAUAAAGAGAAGAAAGAAAUUGGAAAAACUACGAAAUAGAAAUAAUAUUUUAAAUUGGGAAAAAAUGCGUUAAAAUUAUGCAAAAAUUAAAAACAGAAAUUUUUCAAAAAUUUUAAAUAAAUUAUAAUUUUUUACAAGAAAUGCGUCAAAUUGAAUAUGAAAUGGGUCCAUAGUUAAAAAACAAAUACGUUCAUUCUGCGGUCAUUAAAAAAGUGUUUAAAUGAUUGAAAAUUUAAAAAAUAGUUUAAAUAGAACUUGCGUCAAAUUAAGCGGUAAAAUGCAUUAAAAUUUAAUACAAAAACAGGAUCAAACUUUUGUCAUAAAUGCGUCAAAUUAAAUGAAGAGAAAACGUCAAUGAAAAAUAUUAAUUGCGUUUAAAACGAAAAUUAUGCCUUAAAGAAGAUGAUUAAAAAGCGAUUAUGUAAUAUACUACAAAAAUAAGUUAAAUUUACCUUACGUUAUGUUCGCUAGGUUUACGUUAUGUCUUGUUACCAAGCUUACGUCUGCUAAUUAAAUAAUUACGUAGUUCUUUAUAAUUUCAGUUGGUAGAUAGAUGCUUACGUUUAUUUAUAAAACGCAUGAUGAAGAGUUUCUUUCAAUUUCUUUAGUGAAAAACGUAUAUAAUUACGUUAGUAGUAGCUUACACGUCUGUAAAUAAGCUUGUUUAAAUUUAAUAAAAAAGUUUAUAUUUAGAAAAUCCAAAAGUUUUAUUAAUAAAUAUCCAUUAUAAGCAGAGUUGCUGCUCUAAGACUAUAAAUAAGACUAUUUUCGUAAAACAUUGUACAGUCUAUGGCGGGUAUUGAAACCGCGCAUAUUAAAAGUUUAAUUCAAUCAGUUUCUUACUACCACUAGUCCAAAAAGGCAAUUAGGUAAAUUAUGCAGAUACAUUUUAACAAUUAUUUUAUGUUGCGUUACGUAAUUAUUUAUAUUAAAAAAAUCACAAUAAUAAGUAGACCAGACAAUUACAAAUAAGAUUUCUUAAGUAUUUUCACUAAAAGACGUUAUUCUCCUAGCAUUUAAAAGUUAAUUUCUUAUGAAAUUAUAUUAAAGUCACGUAAUAGCGUCUUAUUUUCGAAGUUUAUAAGCAGUUUCUAUUUCAAGCAUUUUACUUCAAUUAAUAUCUUUUUAAGUAUUUUCUACUUAAACCAGAUUAAAUUUUUAAUAUAACAUUAAUUUUAGUUAGGUUUAGUGUUAUGUAUUUUAAAUCUGAAAUAAGUUUUAAUCUAAAAUUAUAAAACAGAUUAGCGUCGUAUUACGACUGUACGUAUCAAUUACAAACGAAGUAAUUUAUAAAUGCGCGUCAUAUUUAAACUGCAAGAGAUAAAAUGCGUCACUAAAAUUUUAAAUUAAAAAUGCGUUCAACUAUAAAUAUAACCUCAAUAGCCAAAUAUUUGAUAACAAAUUUGCGUCAAUUUUAAAUAAAAAUGAGUCAAUAUUGAAAAUGCUUUAUAAUUAACAAAAUUAAUCGAAAUGAAGAGUUUUGAAAGCGUAAAUGAAAAUUUAAAUAAGUCGUUUUAAAUAUUAUUAUUAAAUUAGAAUCAAACUGCGUUAUAAUGAAAAAAGGGUACAAAAUUUUAAAGUUAAAAACUCAAAAACCCGAAAAUGAGUUUAAAAAGCGUAAAGGGUUUCAAUUUCGAAUACUAUUAAAAACAAUAGCGUCAAAAUAAAGCAAAUCGAGUUAAAAGGUCUUAAAAAUAAAAAAUUCGUUAAAAAAAUAACACGAUUAACAGAUUUAGAAACAAAUCUUAAGAGAAAUUAAUAAAAAUAAUGAAUAAAAUGAAUUUUGCGACAAUUCAAAAUUCUUAAAAUUUAUUGCAGAAAGUCCUUUGACAAAUUUCUUUUAAAUACCCUAAAACAAGCAAAAAAAUAGUUUUUAAAAACAAAUCCCCAAAAUCACUAAAAUAUUGUUGAAUUGACAUUACUUGUACGUUAAAAAGGGCGUUAUUACACAAACGCAGACAACACCCACUCAAACACUAACAAAAUUUUAACAAAACUAUUUAAGAUAAAAUAAAUUUGAUACUUCUUGAUAAGUACAAAAAACAACAAAAUCAUAUUCACAAUUUUGCGUAUAUUUUCCACACUAAGGGAACUUGAACUAAAAUUCACCCAAAAAACGUUUUAAAAAGGUUUAAAUUUGAUUUUUACCCCAAAAAAUCGCUACAAUUUUAAAACAAUUACUAAAUAAUACAAACCAGACUUUACGAGAAAAAACUUGCGUUACGUAAAGCUAAUAGAAACGUAUUUACUAUUUAUAUUACAAUACAAUUACAAAUUAUAACCUAAUUACUGAGUAGAGAGCGGCGAAGACUCUAGAACUCGAAACUCGCAAGCGUAAACGUAACCACUAUUUAGUGUACCUAAAAAGAAGUUAAAAAAAAAACUAUUAACUUUUGGUAAAACAGACUAGAAACUCCACAAUCUAAACUUUCAUACCAAAAUAUCUGAAAUUUUUUCACCAAAAUAAUAUAUGUUUUAAAAAGGUUUAAAUUUGAUUUUUGUUUCAACAAAUCACUACAGUUUUAAAACAAUUACUGAAUAACUCACGCUUUAACAACAAAAUUGAAACUUACGUUACGUAAAGCUGAAAUAUUAAUACUUUACAAUACUAUUUAUAUUCUAAUUUAUAUUACUCAGCAAAUAGACUUGAAAGUUAAGCUAGAAUCGUACCCGUAACUCGAAUACUAAUAGACUAUCAACAAGUCUAAAGAUUUGAAGGAUUAGGUACCUCAACAACAAAAUUAAUUUUUGAAUUUCUUUUUCUAAUUAUUUUUAAAUUUUUCAUUUCCAAAACCAUGUUUUAAAAAUGUUUAAUUUUGAUUUUAUACAACAAAAUCGCUACAAUUUUAAAACAAUUACUAAACUCAAGACUUAAGACAACUUCUUUUACUUAAGUUCUUAAAACUCAAACAAUAAAGCCGUUAAAAAAUACCUAUUUUAACUUAAUUAAUCCGAGUAAUUAGGCGAAAACCAUAAUACCGUUAAGUCUAAAAGACGAAGAGUAUGUGAAAGGAAUCUGAAUACGUUACCACCAGACUUUUACAUAUAAACACAUUUUUCAAAUUACGUUAAACGACACUAAAGAUUUUUAGUAAAACAGACGUAAUCGAAACCUCAAAGAUAUAUAACUUACGUUACGUAACGUAAAGCUAUAAAAAUUAUCUUCAUACUGAUCUCUACUUAAACAAUUAAUAAAAUUAACACACCUGAUAUCGACCCAUACUUUUCACCACCUGAAAAGAAAAAAACAAAAAGACGUUAAAAUGUUUUAAAAUUUUUUAAAUUUGAUUUUAAAUAAAUCGCUAAAAUAUUAAAACAAAAGACAAAACUAUAAUAAAAACGCAACAAAAAGUAAAUUUAAAAAGAAAUUUUACUGUGUAGACACGUUACAAACUGCUGAAUACGUCACGUUACAUUAAAAAUGUUUAAUACUUUAUGGUAGACUCUUGCG